CAACAGCUCUGCAGAGCCACCUUUGGAUCAUCAAUCAUCUGCCUUCCCAGGACCACCCAGCAGUGAUGCACGUAGAGCAGAGGUGCAGUGAUGCACGUACAGCAGAGGCGACCCCUUCUCCAUACUUCAGAGACCUCUAGCAUGGUGUUGUGGGACAGCUGGUGUUGUGAAUCAGGCCGUUGCCAAUCAGAGAACGGCUACUUCACAACACCAGGGCCACACUGCACUGCAAGCAGCGAGCAGCAAGCAACAAGCAUCCAGACACCUGAGCACCAGGAUGCCAGCAAGAGCACCUGCCUUCCUUACAGGACUCCUCCCGCUGGCUCCAGACCACUUCUGCUUACUCUCCAGCUCCUGCCCUAUGGUGUAACUGAGGCUGCUGUUUAUUGUAACACAAAGCUCAACUUCAGAAGAAAGCACCAACUCCAGGCAGCAUUAGCUUCCCACAAAGGCAACAGAACAAACAGGUCUCCCAGGGUGAGGGAAGAAGAAGAUGUUCUCAGGCCCUUAGAAAGGCUGAGCACUCUUAAUUGAAUGUCUCCUCAGAGGGUCUGGAAACACACGGAGACUAUAGAACCAGGCCCUUUCCCCCUUUGUUUCCUUUCCUUUUAUUUUUCUAUUACUUUUUUUUUAAGUGUGUAUAUGUGUGGGUGUGAAUGUGUGUGCAUGUGUAUGGGGGAUGUAAAACCAGUUUUAAUUAAACUCUAAUUAUUUAUGUA
rnacentral:lncRNA from 1 species